GAUGAACGCUGGCGGCGUGCCUAAUACAUGCAAGUCGAGCGAACGGACGAGAAGCUUGCUUUUCUGAUGUUAGCGGCGGACGGGUGAGUAACACGUGGAUAACCUACCUAUAAGACUGGGAUAACUUCGGGAAACCGGAGCUAAUACCGGAUAAUAUUUUGAACCGCAUGGUUCAAAAGUGAAAGACGGUCUUGCUGUCACUUAUAGAUGGAUCCGCGCUGCAUUAGCUAGUUGGUAAGGUAACGGCUUACCAAGGCAACGAUGCAUAGCCGACCUGAGAGGGUGAUCGGCCACACGGGAACUGAGACACGGUCCAGACUCCUACGGGAGGCAGCAGUAGGGAAUCUUCCGAAAUGGGCGAAAGCCUGACGGAGCAACGCCGCGUGAGUGAUGAAGGUCUUCGGAUCGAAAAACUCUUUUAUUAGGGAAGAACAUAUGUGUAAGUAACUGUGCACAUCUUGACGGUACCUAAUCAGAAAGCCCCGGCUAACUACG
rnacentral:rRNA from 1 species